GCUCGUGUCGUGAGAUGUUCGGUUAAGUCCGCUAACGAGCGCAACCCUCGCUGUGUGUUAUAUGUGUCACACGGGACUGCCGGUCGUUAAGCCGGAGGAAGGUGGGGAUGAUGUCAAGUCAGCAUGGCCUUUAUAUCCUGGGCUACACACACGCUACAAUGGCCAACACAAUAGGUUGCUAAGCCGCGAGGUGGCGCCAAUCCAUAAAGUUGGUCUCAGUUCAGAUUGUAGGCUGCAACCCGCCUGCAUGAAGAUGGAGUUGCUAGUAACCGCAGGCCAGCUAUACUGCGGUGAAUACGUUCCCCGGGCUU
rnacentral:rRNA from 1 species